AUUGAACGCUGGCGGCAGGCUUAACACAUGCAAGUCGAGCGGAGAGAGGUAGCUUGCUACUGAUCUUAGCGGCGGACGGGUGAGUAAUGCUUAGGAGUCUGCCUAUUAGUGGGGGACAACAUUUCGAAAGGAAUGCUAAUACCGCAUACGUCCUACGAGAGAAAGCAGGGGAUCUUCGGACCUUGCGCUAAUAGAUGAGCCUAAGUCGGAUUAGCUAGUUGGUGGGGUAAAGGCCUACCAAGGCGACGAUCUGUAGCGGGUCUGAGAGGAUGAUCCGCCACACUGGGACUGAGACACGGCCCAGACUCCUACGGGAGGCAGCAGUGGGGAAUAUUGGACAAUGGGCGGAAGCCUGAUCCAGCCAUGCCGCGUGUGUGAAGAAGGCCUUAUGGUUGUAAAGCACUUUAAGCGAGGAGGAGGCUACUUUAGUUAAUACCUAGAGAUAGUGGACGUUACUCGCAGAAUAAGCACCGGCUAACUCUGUGCCAGCCGCCGCAGUAA
rnacentral:rRNA from 1 species